UAUAUGUGAAUAUCUACGAGAUUUCCAACUAAAGGAGUCUGACAGGAAAAUGUGCUGGUCUGUAGGCCGAAAAGAAGAGGCCGACUGGAGGGUCCUCAAUGGCCACAGGAGAGGGAGCCCAUCUCAGGCAGAAUGUACAGCCUGAGACACCUGCCGAGUACACUGGAGAGAAAAAUGUGUCACCUCUGCAUUCAGCUUCACUGAUCAAGAAAAUGAAUUCGAUCCUGGAUCUCUGUCCUUCCGAUAGCAGCUUUCUGGGAGAAGUCGUCAAUACGAAACACUACAAGCCAGAAGAGAGUGGGGGCCAAUAUUCAACAUUCGUAAGGAAAAGAACUUUCAACCCAGAAUUUCAUAUCCGGCCAAACUGAGCUUCAGAAGUGAAGGAAAAAUAAAAUCCUUUGUGAACAAGCA
rnacentral:lncRNA from 13 species